rnacentral:rRNA from 1 species
GACAGAGGAGCCAAGCGUUGUCCGGAUUGACUGGGCGUAAAGCGCACGCAGGCGGACGCGCGCGUGGGGUGUGAAAUCUGGCCGCUUAACGGCCAGGCGCCAUCCCAUACGGCGCGUCUGGAGUGAUGCAGAGGUCGGUGGAAUUGCCGGUGUAGUGGUGAAAUGCGUAGAGAUCGGCAGGAACACCCAGGGGGAAACCAGCCGACUGGGCAUCUACUGACGCUGAGGUGCGAGAGCGUGGGGAGCGAACCGG